GCCCCGAUAGUAUAGUCCGGCCCAGAAUGCUGGCCUGUCGAGCCAGCGACCCGGGUUCAAAUCCCGGUCGGGGCGCCA
rnacentral:tRNA from 1 species